UACGAACUGUGCAAACGUUAUUCGGAAUCACUGGGCUUAAAGCGCACGUAGGCGGCUUUGUAAGUUAGAGGUGAAAGCCCGGGGCUCAACUCCGGAAUUGCCUUUAAGACUGCAUCGCUAGAAUUGUGGAGAGGUAAGUGGAAUUCCGAGUGUAGAGGUGAAAUUCGUAGAUAUUCGGAAGAACACCAGUGGCGAAGGCGGCAUCCUGGACCGAGAUUGACGCUGAUGCGCGAAAGCCAGGGGAGCAAACGGG
rnacentral:rRNA from 1 species